rnacentral:rRNA from 1 species
UGCAAGUCGAACGAGAAAGCAUCUUCGGAUGUGAUUAAAGUGGCGGACGGGUGAGUAAUACAUAGGAAUCUACCCAAUGGCGGGGGACAGCUCGAGGAAACUCGAAUUAAUACCGCAUAAUCUCUACGGAGUAAAGAGGGCUUCGGCUCUCACCAUCGGAUGAGCCUAUGCAAGAUUAGCUUGUUGGUAAGGUAAUGGCUUACCAAGGCAACGAUCUUUAGCUGGUUUGAGAGGAUGACCAGCCACAUCGGGACUGAGACACGGCCCGGACUUCUACGGAAGGCAGCAGUAGGGAAUAUUGGACAAUGAGCGAAAGCUUGAUCCAGCUAUGCCGCGUGUGCGAUGACGGCCCUCGGGUUGUAAAGCACUUUAGGUAACGAGGAAAAGUUAGGUGUUAAUACCACUUAACCAUGACGUUAAUUACAGAAUAAGCACCGGCUAAAUCCGUGCCAGCAGCCGCGGUAAUACGGAUGGUGCAAGCGUUAAUCGGAAUUACUGGGCGUAAAGCGCGCGUAGGUGGCAUACUAAGUUAGAUGUGAAAUCCCGGGGCUUAACCUCGGAACUGCAUCUAAAACUGGUAAGCUAGAGUACUAGAGAGGAAAGUAGAAUUCUUAGUGUAGCGGUGGAAUGCGUAGAUAUUAAGAGGAAUACCAAUGGCGAAGGCAACUUUCUGGAUAGAUACUGACACUGAGGUGCGAAAGCGUGGGGAGCAAACAGGAUUAGAUACCCUGGUAGUCCACACCGUAAACGCUGUCUACUAGCUGUGUGUGCCUUUAAGGCGUGCGUAGCGAAGCUAACGCGCUAAGUAGACCGCCUGGGGAGUACGGCCGCAAGGUUAAAACUCAAAUGAAUUGACGGGGGCCCGCACAGCGGUGGAGCAUGUGUUUAUUCGAUGCACGCGAAGAACCUUACCUACACUUGACAUGCAGAGAACUUUCUAGAGAUAGAUUGGUGCCUUCGGGAACUCUGACACAGGUGCUGCAUGCUGUCGUCAGCUCGUGUCGUGAGAUGUUGGGAUAGUCCCGCACGAGCGCAACCCUUGUCUUAGUGCCAGCCUUAAGGUGGGCACUCUAAGGAGACUGGCGGGUGACAACCCGAAGAAGUGGACGACGCUCAAGUCACUCAUGGGCCCUUACUGGAA